rnacentral:rRNA from 1 species
UCUGGCUGUAUCUCCCUGAAUGUAUCCUAUUUUCUCUGGUCUCAGAAGCUGAGCAGGGCCGGGCCUGGUUGGUACAUGGAGGGGAGUAAGCAGGGAAAACCAAAA